CAACAACAAAGUUUUAAAGCAAGACAACCAUCGACGUUCAUUGGGGGUUCAAUCAAUUGGCCUGAGUCAUCAUCUUUUUCAUUGGGUGUUAUUCUAAACAUAGAAUCCAAGUAAGUUUUGACAAGUUAUAAUUUUAUACAUGGAAUUUCAUGUAAUGGAUUGAAUUAGCAAUCAAGUAUUGGGGAGUUUGGGAAAAUUGAAUUGGUUGCCCAAUUGAGUUUAUGUUGGCUCAAUUGGGUGUUGGUUGUUAUAACUUUGGGUUCAAAUUGGAUCGGGAUGUGAUUGUGGAUAAAAAGCUUCAAGCUUUGGACUGAAAUAAGUUUGGGGGAGUAUCACAGAA
rnacentral:lncRNA from 1 species